rnacentral:lncRNA from 1 species
GUCGCCAUCUUGGACUCGGUUCGACCAGGUCUGGUGACCGGCGACGAGGGGCCGGGCUCGGCGCCGGGGGUCGGGAACUACUAUCAAUGCCUUUUACAAAAUGAGGUCAUUGGAUUGCAGAGUUGGCUUUCGAGAAGAUUUUGUGGCCUUUCUCAGCUGUCUAGGUGCUGUAGGUGCUGUGUUUCUAUGGCUGCAAGGAUGAAGAGAAACAGAAGAUCAAACUUAAAGUCACAGCAAGUAGGUGGCAGAGUGAAGAGCAGAUCCAGCAGAUUCUCUGAACUCUCGGACUGAGGAUCUCAUUAAUACAACCUCUCGUGGAAGACACAUUAGAUAUACUGUUCCUUGCGUGUAGAAUAUACAUGAAUUCAUUGUGCAUGGAGUUUGCAUUUUCCCAUUUGAUUCUCAUACCAGCCCUGUAAACAGGUCUUAGCUCAAAAAAUUAUGAGACUAGCUCCAGUUUCUCUCUAACCAGAGGGUAAUUUUUUUGUGGUCAAGGGCCAUCUUUGUGUCUCCAGGGUCCGGAAAAGAAAUGAACUGAAGAAUUUAUGACAGAGCUGCAGAAAAACCUCAAAAGCUUUCCUCAGUUCUGUGCUUUUUAAAAAGAAUUAAUAGCAAUCAGUUUCUUUUAGAUAAAGCAAGUCAGC